AGUGAACGCUGGCGGUAUGCUUAACAUAUGCAAGUCGAACGGCAACACCGCUUGAGCUUGUUCCUACUGGCGGACGGUUGCGGACUAGAGAGGAAUGUACCGGAAUGUACUUUUUAGUGGGGGGUAACGGUAGCUAAUACACCCUGAUAUCGCAUAAGACAAGCGGGGGAAAGCAGGGGAUUUUGGUACUAUGCCCGAUUGUAUGAGACGAUGUCGGAUUAGGUAGUUGGGGGGGUAAAGGCCUACCAAGGCGACGAUCCGUAGCUGGUCUGAGAGGAUGAUCAGCCACACUGGAACUGAGACACGGUCCAGACUCCUACGGGAGGCAGCAGUGGGGAAUAUUGGACAAUGGGCGCAAGCCUGAUCCAGCCAUACCGCGUGGGUGAUGAAGGCCUUCGGGUUGUAAAGCGCUUUUGUAGGGAAAGAAAAGCAGCAGGUUAAUACCGCGCUGUUCUGACGGUACCCAAAGAAUAAGCACCGGCUAACUUCGUG
rnacentral:rRNA from 1 species